UCGGUCAUGUCAUUCGGCGUUAGACUGCGAGGUAGUUGUUAAUACGUAAUGAACUUUGAACUACGAGAAUAUUGAUUUGCCUAUUUCUUUUGUAAAACGCGUUAAUAAGAUUAAUCUGGAUCCUGAUUCAAUAUUAAUAUAAUCAGCAUAAUAAUCAAUUGGAAAUACACUGGAGAAAUCCCCGUCUUAGGGGACCCUGCUCCGCAUCGCGAAGACCCUGCUCCGCAUCGCGAAGACCCUGCUCCGCAUCGCGAAGACCCUACUCCGCAUUGUCUCCACUCUCCACCCGCUUGCCACGCGAAGACCCUGCUCCGCAUUGUCUCCACCCGCUUGUCACGCGAAGACCCUCGCCUUGUUCCACGGUUGCCAGGGGAGUAGUCCAUCAAUCCCUUGAGUGGCAGUAUCAUUUUAUUUAAGGCCAUUAUACCACGUCCCUAACAAA